AAAUCAAUGGUUUUUCCAAACAAUUUGUUUUGUCUUUUUUUAAAUUUUGGCAUUGAUUCAUGUUGUUGUUUGUAUGUCUAUAAAGUAUGAUUUUUUUUUUUUUGCUGAAAUUGUAUCUGCUUACCUCUGCUGGUUUUUGGUCUUACAUAUGCACACCAUUUUUACUGAACAUGAUAUUUGUCAGUGUCAUUAGCCCAUUUUAUACCCAC
rnacentral:lncRNA from 1 species